rnacentral:rRNA from 1 species
AGCAUGUGGUUAAUUCGAAGUCAACGCGAAGAACCUUACCAGGUCUUGACAUCCCGAUGCUAUUUCUAGAGAUAGAAAGUUACUUCGGUACAUCGGUGACAGGUGGUGCAUGGUUGUCGUCAGCUCGUGUUGUGAGAUGUUGGGUUAAGUCCCGCAACGAGCGCAACCCCUAUUGUUAGUUGCCAUCAUUCAGUUGGGCACUCUAGCGAGACUGCCGGUAAUAAACCGGAGAAGUGGGGAUGACGUCAAAUCAUCAUGCCCCUUAUGACCUGGGCUACACACGUGCUACAAUGGUUGGUACAACGAGUUGCGAGUCGGUGACGGCGAGCUAAUCUCUUAAAGCCAAUCUCAGUUCGGAUUGUAGGCUGCAACUCGCCUACAUGAAGUCGGAAUCGCUAGUAAUCGCGGAUCAGCACGCCGCGGUGAAUACGUUCCCGGGGCUU